GUGCUAGCUUCAGAAGCACAUAUACUAAAAUUGGAACUUUACAGUGAAGAUUAGCGUGGUGCCUGUACAAGGAUAACAUGUAAAUUCAUGAAGCAUUCCACAUUUUC